UACAGAGACUGCAAGCGUUAUUCGGAUUCACUGGGCGUAAAGGGUGCGCAGGCGGCCGUAUGUGUGAGGCGUGAAAGCCCGGGGCUUAACCCCGGAAUUGCACCUCAAACUAUACGGCUAGAGCAUUGGAGAGGUAGCAGAAUUCAUGGUGUAGCAGUGAAAUGCGUAGAUAUCAUGAGGAAUACCAGAGGCGAAGGCGGCUACCUGGACAAUUGCUGACGCUCAGGCACGAAAGCGUGGGGAGCAAAAGGG
rnacentral:rRNA from 1 species